UUGACCCCAUACUAUGCUCAGCAAGUAGGGCCCUUGUAUUUCUGUGAAUCCUCAUGCAGUACAGUACUGCUGUUGUAAGAGGAGCAAACAGUGUGGGAUCUAUUGUCCACCAUCACUUCAAGCAUCAUGGCUAUGGAGAAAAGAAUGUUUCAUUACAUAUGGAAAAUUAUAGUGGACAAAAUAAGAAAAGUGUUGUAAUAAGAAUGUCCUCUUCAUGACCUGGUAUAGUAUUCUUGAAGGAUUAUAACUUCAACACAGGCACGGAAACUAAUAUUUUUAGGCAGGGGGUUGGCAUGACAGGCAAAUUCACCAACCGUAUUAUCAUUCCUGAGUUGGAUGCCAGUCGACAGUGGUACCUGUAUAAUGAAAUAGCGCCCCUUUGCAGCAACAGCAAUGUAUGCUCAAAACCAACAGUGCCAAAGCCAUUAAAAUUGAGAACUUAAGUCAUUUAAAACGAAGAAUGAAUGGAAAAAAGAUUUAACAUUUAAAGUAAUACAGAGAAGGAGCUCUGAAAGUUUGAUUAAUUUGAAAGUGUUUAUGAUUUUUUGAAGAUGUACUAAACCCAAAUUCCAUGUAUUUGAAAAAGAACAAGUGUUACAUAUAGUUUUUGUAAACAUUGAAUUAACAACUUUAUGGUGUCAACAGUACUAUGCAUUUGUUAAAUGUUGACACACUAUAUACAUGUAAGGCUGAACACAGUAUAAAUGUGAAAUUCCUCUAAAACACUGG
rnacentral:lncRNA from 1 species